AACACAAAUGGAUUGGAUUUUGUUUGGUGAAAGGUGGCCUAUCCUCCACGACGGCGGCUGAACAAACAUGAGAAAAAACCCGUCAGAACCAAACCACCUAUGAACCGUCACACACCACCGGAAGGCUAAGAUGGGACGAUCAGGCGUUGGGAACUUUCGACAGCUUCGAGGGGACAAAUGAUAGUGGACUCCAGGGCAACCAAUUUCAAGAGGUGAAAGCACUGGCAGUCCCGGUGCUCCGGGUAAGCGGUUGCAAUUGGUUCCGAUCAGGUCAAAGGAGAUUCAAGGUCUGGCGCUGAAACCAUUCAUCAGUUGUUCGAAUGGAACUGUCCGCCAACGGACAUCGUUCAAUAUCUACCAGCUGAAACAUCUGAAAAUGUUGUUCUGUGAGACGAAAUUUGGAAUCAAGUUCAAGACAUAACGAAU